GAUGAACGCUGGCGGCGUGCUUAACACAUGCAAGUCGAGCGAAGCAGUUAAGUUGAUUUCUUCGGAUUGAUUCUUAACUGACUGAGCGGCGGACGGGUGAGUAACGCGUGGGUGACCUGCCCCGUACCGGGGGAUAACAGCUGGAAACGGCUGCUAAUACCGCAUAAGCGCACAGAGCUGCAUGGCUCGGUGUGAAAAACUCCGGUGGUAUGGGAUGGGCCCGCGUCUGAUUAGGCAGUUGGCGGGGUAACGGCCCACCAAACCGACGAUCAGUAGCCGGCCUGAGAGGGCGACCGGCCACAUUGGGACUGAGACACGGCCCAAACUCCUACGGGAGGCAGCAGUGGGGAAUAUUGCACAAUGGGGGAAACCCUGAUGCAGCGACGCCGCGUGAGCGAAGAAGUAUUUCGGUAUGUAAAGCUCUAUCAGCAGGGAAGAUAAUGACGGUACCUGACUAAGAAGCCCCGGCUAACUACGUGCCAGCAGCCGCGGUAAUACGUAGGGGGCAAGCGUUAUCCGGAUUUACUGGGUGUAAAGGGAGCGUAGACGGCAAGGCAAGUCUGAUGUGAAAACCCAGGGCUUAACCCUGGGACUGCAUUGGAAACUGUCUGGCUCGAGUGCCGGAGAGGUAAGCGGAAUUCCUAGUGUAGCGGUGAAAUGCGUAGAUAUUAGGAAGAACACCAGUGGCGAAGGCGGCUUACUGGACGGUAACUGACGUUGAGGCUCGAAAGCGUGGGGAGCAAACAGGAUUAG
rnacentral:rRNA from 1 species